GACGAACGCUGGCGGCGUGCUUAACACAUGCAAGUCGAACGAAGAGCGAUGGAAGCUUGCUUCUAUCAAUCUUAGUGGCGAACGGGUGAGUAACGCGUAAUCAACCUGCCCUUCAGAGGGGGACAACAGUUGGAAACGACUUCUAAUACCGCAUACGAUCUAAUCUCGGCAUCGAGGAUAGAUGAAAGGUGGCCUCUACAUGUAAGCUAUCACUGAAGGAGGGGAUUGCGUCUGAUUAGCUAGUUGGAGGGGUAACGGCCCACCAAGGCGAUGAUCAGUAGCCGGUCUGAGAGGAUGAACGGCCACAUUGGGACUGAGACACGGCCCAGACUCCUACGGGAGGCAGCAGUGGGGAAUCUUCCGCAAUGGACGAAAGUCUGACGGAGCAACGCCGCGUGAGUGAUGACGGCCUUCGGGUUGUAAAGCCCUGUUAAUAGGGAAGAAAGGCCUUCUUGCGAAUAGUGAGAAGGAUUGACGGUACCGGAAUAGAAAGCCACGGCUAACUACGU
rnacentral:rRNA from 1 species